GACGAACGCUGGCGGCGUGCUUAACACAUGCAAGUCGAACGGAAAGGCCCUGCUUUUGUGGGGUGCUCGAGUGGCGAACGGGUGAGUAACACGUGAGUAACCUGCCCUUGACUUUGGGAUAACUUCAGGAAACUGGGGCUAAUACCGGAUAGGAGCUCCUGCUGCAUGGUGGGGGUUGGAAAGUUUCGGCGGUUGGGGAUGGACUCGCGGCUUAUCAGCUUGUUGGUGGGGUAGUGGCUUACCAAGGCUUUGACGGGUAGCCGGCCUGAGAGGGUGACCGGCAACAUGGGGACUGAGAUACGGCACAGACUCCUACGGGAGGCAGAAGUGGGGAAUAUUGCACAAUGGGCGGAAGCCUGAUGCAGCAACGCCGCGUGCGGGAUGACGGCCUUCGGGUUGUAAACCGCUUUCGCCUGUGACGAAGCGUGAGUGACGGUAAUGGGUAAAGAAGCACCGGCUAACUACGUG
rnacentral:rRNA from 1 species